rnacentral:rRNA from 1 species
AUUGAACGCUGGCGGCAUGCCUUACACAUGCAAGUCGAACGGCAGCACGGGAGCAAUCCUGGUGGCGAGUGGCGAACGGGUGAGUAAUAUAUCGGAACGUGCCCAGUCGUGGGGAUAACAUAGCGAAAGCUACGCUAAUACCGCAUACGAUCUAUGGAUGAAAGCGGGGGAUCGCAAGACCUCGCGCGAUUGGAGCGGCCGAUAUCAGAUUAGGUAGUUGGUGAGGUAAAGGCUCACCAAGCCGACGAUCUGUAGCUGGUCUGAGAGGACGACCAGCCACACUGGGACUGAGACACGGCCCAGACUCCUACGGGAGGCAGCAGUGGGGAAUUUUUGGGACAAUGGGCGGCAAGCCUGAUCCAGCAAUGCCGCGUGCAGGAUGAAGGCC